UACGUGAGGGUGCAAGCGUUGUCCGGAAUUAUUGGGCGUAAAGAGCUCGUAGGCGGUCUGUCGCGUCUGCUGUGAAAACUCAGGGCUUAACCCUGAGCUUGCAGUGGGGUACGGGCAGACUAGAGUGCGGUAGGGGAGACUGGAAUUCCUGGUGAUAGCGGUGAAAUGACGCAGAUAUCAGGAGGAACACCGGUGGCGAAGGCGGGUCUCUGGGCCGUAACUGACGCUGGAGGAGCGAAAGCAUGGGGAGCGAACAGG
rnacentral:rRNA from 1 species